GAUGAACGCUGGCGGCGUGCUUAACACAUGCAAGUCGAACGGAUCUUGAGGAGCUUGCUCCUCUUGGUUAGUGGCGGACGGGUGAGUAACGCGUGGGUAACCUGCCCUAUGCAGGGGGAUAACGUUUGGAAACGAACGCUAAUACCGCAUAAUAAAGAAGAACCGCAUGGUUUUUCUUUCAAAGAUUUAUCGGCAUAGGAUGGACCCGCGUUGGAUUAGCUAGUUGGUGAGAUAACAGCCCACCAAGGCGACGAUCCAUAGCCGGCCUGAGAGGGUGAACGGCCACAUUGGGACUGAGACACGGCCCAAACUCCUACGGGAGGCAGCAGUGGGGAAUAUUGCACAAUGGGCGCAAGCCUGAUGCAGCGACGCCGCGUGAAGGAUGAAGGUCUUCGGAUUGUAAACUUCUAUCAGCAGGGAAGAAUAAAUGACGGUACCUGACUAAGAAGCACCGGCUAACUACGUGCCAGCAGCCGCCGUAAAAC
rnacentral:rRNA from 1 species